CAGCAAAUAGUUUAUUUAAAAUAUUAGUUUUGGAUACUGAUGAUGGAGCACUUUCUUUGCUGA
rnacentral:tRNA from 1 species